rnacentral:misc_RNA from 1 species
CCGAGUUAUUACUCCAAACCCAUUGUGAAUCUUACCUUCUAUUCUGUUGUCUCGGCGGCGGCUCGACCGGCCUCCCGUCCCCGUAAUAGGGGAAGAUGGGAGCCGGUUCCCCGCCGGCAGCACCAAACUCUUGGAUUUUAUAGCGGACUAUAAGCUCUGAUUACAAUAAAAAAAUGAAUCA